CCCCAUGGAGCUUCAAACCCAACUACACCCCCAACCCCUAUAACUACUAAAUCCUUGAGGCCCUGUAUCGUUGGUUUUAGGUUGGGGCGACCACGGAGUACAACAAAACCUCCACAAUGAACGGAAUUAAUUCCUAAUCUAAGAACUACAUCUCUAAGAAUUAAAAUACUAACAUAAAAUGAUCCAUUUUUUGAUUAAUGAACCAAGUUACCCUGGGGAUAACAGCGCAAUCCAUUUCAAGAGCCCCUAUCGACAAA
rnacentral:rRNA from 1 species